GCUGAAUCACUAGUAGGAUGCUUAACUGAUUGAACCACUCGAGGGCCCCCUCAAAAAGUCAGCACUGUGUUAGAUGAAGGAGAUAAAAAACAGCCCAAGAUUGGAUCUACUCUCAUCUCAAGCAAUGUGUCAACAUCGAGGCAGCUGAGUCUCUAGAGGAAGAUCACUCUAUCUGUUUCAAGAACUUGUCAAGGGGCUAGUACACAAGCAGGGGAAGCAGAAGGCAGAGGGAGAGGCAGAAGGAGGCUCCCUAAGGAGCAGGGAACUGGACGCAGAGCUCCAUCCCAGGACUCUGGGAUCAUGACCUGAGCCAAAGGCAACUGAGCCACCCAGGUGUCCCUUGAAAGAGAGAGAGAGAGAGAGAGAGGCGGAAGCAGGCUCCAUGCAGGGAGCCCGAUGUGGG